rnacentral:rRNA from 1 species
GAUGAACGCUGGCGGCGUGCCUAAUACAUGCAAGUCGAGCGAACAGACGAGGAGCUUGCUCCUCUGACGUUAGCGGCGGACGGGUGAGUAACACGUGGAUAACCUACCUAUAAGACUGGGAUAACUUCGGGAAACCGGAGCUAAUACCGGAUAACAUAUUGAACCGCAUGGUUCAAUAGUGAAAGACGGUUUUGCUGUCACUUAUAGAUGGAUCCGCGCCGCAUUAGCUAGUUGGUAAGGUAACGGCUUACCAAGGCAACGAUGCGUAGCCGACCUGAGAGGGUGAUCGGCCACACUGGAACUGAGACACGGUCCAGACUCCUACGGGAGGCAGCAGUAGGGAAUCUUCCGCAAUGGGCGAAAGCCUGACGGAGCAACGCCACGUGAGUGAUGAAGGUCUUCGGAUCGUAAAACUCUGUUAUUAGGGAAGAACAAAUGUGUAAGUAACUAUGCACGUCUUGACGGUACCUAAUCAGAAAGCCACGGCUAACUACGUG